rnacentral:rRNA from 1 species
UACAGAGGGUGCGAGCGUUAAUCUGAAUUACUGGGCGUAAAGCGUGCGUAGACGGUUAUGUAAGUUAGGUGUGAAAGCCCCGGGCUCAACCUGGGAAUUGCAUUUAAGACUGCAUAGCUAGGGUGCGGAAGAGGGAAGCGGAAUUUCCGGUGUAGCGGUGAAAUGCGUAGAUAUCGGAAGGAACAUCAGUGGCGAAAGCGGCUUCCUGGUCCAGCACCGACGUUCAGGCACGAAAGCGUGGGGAGCAAACAGG